CCAGUACCAACCUUUACAUCUGCCGGUGCCCUUCCAAUGCAAUUAGAACAAAGAAUAAGGAAUUUAAACAUCAUCAUCAAGCAAAACUGGUAUAAAUUAACCAUAUUAAUCAAACGUGGGAAAAUAAUAACCCACCUCACGGUCCGGACACUUGUAGAAUAUACGACCAAGUUGAUUCCCUCUUUUUUCACUCGAUACUCCUUUAUAAUCUUCUACUUACACUCGUCGCAAUCAAUGAGAGGAAGAUCCGGC
rnacentral:lncRNA from 1 species